UACGUAGGGGGCAAGCGUUAUCCGGAAUUACUGGGUGUAAAGGGAGCGUAGACGGUAAUGUAAGUCUGGAGUGAAAGGCGGGGGCCCAACCCCCGGACUGCUCUGGAAACUAUGUUACUAGAGUGCAGGAGAGGUAAGCGGAAUUCCUAGUGUAGCGGUGUAAUGCGUAGAUAUUAGGAGGAACACCAGUGGCGAAGGCGGCUUACUGGACUGUAACUGACGUUGAGGCUCGAAAGCGUGGGGAGCAAACAGG
rnacentral:rRNA from 1 species